rnacentral:tRNA from 1 species
GGGGUCGUGGCGGAAUGGCAGACGCGCUAGCUUGAGGGGCUAGUGAGGAGAAUCCCUCGUGUGAGUUCGACUCUCACCGGCCCCACCA